rnacentral:lncRNA from 1 species
ACAAGACUUGGGAAAGGGCAGGACGCCAACUUAGAAGCCUACACAGAUGACCUGGGUGCUGUGGGUGGUGCAUGCCUAGAGGAUGAAGCCAGCGCUCUGCGCCUGGAUGAAGACAGCGAACAUCCUCCCAUGAUUCUCCGGACUGACUGAUCCUGACCUGUGAACUCUGGCCCAGGAGCAGACAACACUGCCUGGCUGAGGACUUGAGCAUUGCUGCUAUGAACUUUGACCUGAAUUGAGGGAGAGGAUGGCAGAGACUUAAAGCAGAGGUUGUAGUUAUAGCCUAUCCAUACUGUUGAGAAAAUACAGUUUUCACUUCAGUGACUUUAAUCCUGCUUAUGAAUUUAGCUUUUUAUUUUCUCUCACUCUUUAAUUUUUUUAAUCUUUUUUUUUCUUUUUUCUUUUUCUUUUUUGCCAAAAUUAACUAUUUGGUGAAGUCUGUGGAGUCUCCUUGCUUUGCAUGUGUGAUGUGCCAAGCCAGCAUAGGAGAGCAAGUGGAGUGGCCACUCCAUAGCAAACCACAGUUGUCAGGUCUCAUGCCAGGGCACGCAUGAAGAAGUCUGCGUGCAGUGAUUCUGCAGGGACAGGGCCCAUGUGCCCACCAAGACCAGCCAGGGCACCAGUGGACAGUGGCCUCUGUCAGGAGUCCUCUUGCCCUACUGCCCCACCUGGGCCAUUUUCCCUCCCAAUUUAUUAAACUCUUUCCAGAUUGGAUCAUUCUGGGACUAGCUUCCUCCACGGGGGGACUGUUGUUCUGGGUCUUAGUCUCCAUGGGCAUCUUGAGAGGGAGAGGGGCAGUUUCUGCUCUCUGUGCCUUCUCUUCUGACAGGUGAACUUGGCAGUCUACCAGGGCAGCCUGGAACCAAGAAAGGUGAUGUCGUCAGUGUCGUUAAAUGCUCUGUCUCCUCCUGUCCCCAUCCAUAACUGUGACUUGGCUUUUUGUUUUUUUUGUUUUUAAAGGAGAGUCUAUAGCUACUCCAAUUCCCAAAAAAGCACAAAGGUGUAAGAUGCUAGGUCAGGGUCAGCCUCUGCGGACCUGGAGCAGUGGUGUCUGCCAGAGGCUCUCCUCCCUCCCCAGACAUAGCAGAGAGUAGAGGGGCCCCUCCCCCUCCCAGGGAGGCGGCAGGAGAUUCCCUCCCGGGGUGAUGUGCCUUUUCUUUUGGUCUUACAAGGGCAGGAAAGUGAGGUCAGAUGUCAGUGCUGCCCUGUGCCUGUCUGCUUUUGAUUGUUUGCUAUUUGGGGGGAAGGUGUGGUCUCACACUACACCCCAGGCCCUGGAACUCACUAUAUAGCCCAGGCUGGUCUCAGACUCAAAGUAGUCCCCCUGCCUCAACUUCCUGUGAGUUGGAAUUACAGGUACUGCUGUGCUAGGCUCCAUUCUCAGCUCUAUAGAAUAAAAAGUUGAGGUCCUCAAAUCUGCAUUCUAAAGAACAGAGCCUAACAGUGGAGCCCAAGGGCGUGGCUGUGGCUUCUGCAUGACUAUGGCUUUAGGUGCAGGGGUUUUGGAGUAGGAAAUCUGGAUAAUGUUGGGGUACCAGGUUAAUCCAGCCGGAUAAGAGGGACUACAGGUAGCUGCCUUCAGGCCUGUGUGGUUAUGUCUGGUAGAGUAUAUCUGCAGGGUGCCUGUAGCUAAAUCUGCUGAGGUUCCCUGUUUCUGCUGUUCAAGGAUAGCUAAUCACAUAAUUGGGGUUUGAGGGGCGCCCACUGUUAGCUCUGGCUGCUGUUGGCACCUGUGCCCUGGAGCAUCCGAGGAGCCAAACAGUAUGAGGCAGGGUUAGGCUGCGUGUGCUGGACUUUAAACUAUGAAUUUUCUGGACCCUAAUAACAUGGGACCCCAGCCUGUGGCCUAGUUCAGUGACUGCUUCACUGGGAGACUAAAACUGGCCUUCACAGGAACCGACUGUGGGAAGCACACGGGGCUGAUUGGGAGCCGGGGUUUCCUGGAACCAAAGAGUGUGGCUGUUGUGCUGGUGACCUUGGCUUUGUGCUCUGGGUUUGGAGCUCAGCUCCCUCUGCUGAGGCCUCUCUAGGGAGCUGGGGUCUCACAGACAGUGGAGUUCACGUCUCCCUAAAGCAUAGGUUUCCUCACUUGGAAACUUGGUUAGAAAAAGGCCGCUCCUGGGGUCUGGGGCUGUGCCUUCCAUCAGUGGUCUUGCCAGGCUGUGCAAAUUUGGUGAGCCUUCCUCUCUUGGGACAGAUGUGCCCGUGCAUCCCACAGAGGUCAGAAAAGCAAAGGAUUAGGCUGUGACCUCAGGCAAUCUGUACAGCACUCGCAGGCCUCAGGUGAGGGAGGAGAGAGUGGCUGGCUGAGGUCAGCACUCACUGUUGGGAUGCACACGGUAGAGCCAAGCCUCAGCAGGGCUCAGGUUCAAAGGUAAGAACAUUUUGGAAUCCGGUGUGGCACACACCUGUAAUCCCAGCAGUCAAGAGAGUGAGGCAGGAGCAUGGCUGUAAAUUUGAGGCCAGUCUAGACUAUAUACUCCUGGGCAAACCUGGCCUACAGAGUGAGACCCUGUCUCAAAAAACCAAAGGAUGAUGACUUUAAGAAAAGAAAGAAACAAAACAAAAACAACGGGGAAUGGGAGUUGUAAAACCCCCCAAAAUUUUAAGAUUAGUAUGGAUUGGGACCAAAGCUUUUGUAUUUUCUCAGACAAUGAAAGCAAGAGUUGGAGUCCCUUGUCCUGCCUACACCAACAAGUGUGAGCUAGGGGCAGGUCUCAGGGGUCUGAGGUUGGACUGUACGAGAACCCUACCUCACAGGGCUGUUGUGAGGUGUGUGGGGGCAUGUCCUGUGGGUACCCAGUGCUGGGGCUGGCCAGCAGUGGACUCCAAUAAACACUAAAACUGAAAGCUCCCAGAGUCAAGUGCAUGGUUUUUGUUCAGCUCUGCUCUCUGCCUACAAAGCUAGGUGGAAGAUGGUCUUGCAGUGGAGGGUGUGUGGAGGGAGCCUGUCUCGCCUGGGCCGUGACUGCAGGGUUGAGACCACAAGUUUCAGCAAUGUCCUGCCUAGCCCACCUGGAACAUCCCAACCCUGCCCUCUUGUGGAUUCUGGGAGCUUCAAGGCUGCAGCUCCUGCCAAAUCGGCUUGGUAACUUGGCUCUCACAGUUUGACUUGGAGACGAGGCUCGACAGCAGGUGUGUUACUUGGAAAAGACCAGAGUAUUUUGGUCACAGCUCAGCUAUGACGAGGACUGUGUGCCUUGCUCAGCUCCACUCUCCGUGGUUCUUUUUGUUUUAUUUUUGAAAUGAUCUUACAACUUAGCCCAGGCUGCAGUCAGAUUUAAGAUGGUGUGCCUCUGCCUGCCUUGUCCUGGAACUACAGGCCCAAGCCAGCACAUCCGAGCUUUUAUCAAGACAUCAUAAAGAUGCAUGCUCCAAUGGCCCCGUGCCCCCAGUCGUUGUAGCUCCUGCCCUCUGCAUGCUAGCAAUGACCAGAUCACUUGUUCGGAACAUCUGGUGUCCCAGGUGUGAGGAGAGCUGGACCAAGUGCCCUCCUCACACUGUGCGAGAAGUGUCUCCCCGGGGGAUGAAGCCUGUUGGAAAUGCAUACUAACAACUGCCUGCUGAGCACAAGGGCUUUAUUGAUUGAGUUCUUGCCCUACUGUAAUCUUUGACCUGUCUUAGACUAUAUUUGUACUCUGUGGGGUUUGGGAAACCCAAGGGAAAGAAAAGGAACAACUCUGGAUUUGGAGGCAAGAUCAACUCUUCUUUGGCGUCUGACAAGGAAUAGCAUUUUAUUUUGAAAAAUUAAACCUUUUUCAAGCUG